rnacentral:rRNA from 1 species
AUUGAACGCUGGCGGCAGGCCUAACACAUGCAAGUCGAGCGCGCGGCGGACGGGGGAGUAUUGUGUGGGGAACUUCGCGAUAGCGGGGGAGAACAAAUGGAAAAGGUGGUUAAAAUAGCAUACUAUCGGAUGAACCCACAUGGGAUUAGCUAGUAUGUGGGGUAAAGGCGCACCUAGGCGACGCUCUCUAGCUGGUCUCAGAGGCUGAUCAGCCACACUGGAACUGAGACACGGCCCAUACUCCUACGGGAGGCAGCAGUGGGGAAUAUUGCACAAUGGGCGCAAGCCUGAUGCAGCCAUGCCGCGUGUAUGAAGAAGGCCUUAGGGUUGUAAAGUACUUUCAGCGAGGAGGCGUUACCCGCAGAAGAAGCACCGGCUAACUCCGUGCCAGCAGCCGCGGUAAUUC